ACCACCAACUCCUCAUAAAGCUGCAUCUUCUAAUCUAGAAGAGUUCAGGAGAUCUGAAGAAAGGAGUUUGGAUCAGCCAUCCAGUACCUUCAAUGCGAGCUAGCACUCCCGAAAAGGAUGAUCCGAUCAGGGCUUCGAGUGGACGAUCUGUAGAUACUGGAUGAUCUAUGCGGCUAUUUGACAUCAAUGAGAGCUUCAUACUGUGCCUACUAAUAGUGAAGAUCAUUGACCUGUGAUAAGGUGAUAAGUUUUGA
rnacentral:lncRNA from 1 species